rnacentral:rRNA from 1 species
ACGUAGGGUGCAAGCGUUAAUCGGAAUUACUGGGCGUAAAGCGUGCGCAGGCGGUUUUGUAAGACAGGCGUGAAAUCCCCGGGCUUAACCUGGGAAUUGCGCUUGUGACUGCAAGGCUAGAGUACGGUAGAGGGGGGUAGAAUUCCGCGUGUAGCAGUGAAAUGCGUAGAUAUGCGGAGGAACACCGAUGGCGAAGGCAGCCCCCUGGACCUGUACUGACGCUCAUGCACGAAAGCGUGGGGAGCAAACAGG